CAUUGUUGGUUGCUGCCUCCCCGUACUCUCUCUGACUCUCUCUAUCUCUUCCCGUUCAGAUCCACAUCAUCACCACACCUCUGAUCCAGCCAUGGCCUCCCCGUGCCUCUCCUCUUCAUCGCUCACCACCACCGCCAUAACAUGGAGCUCAGCCGUCCAGCGUUUCUUCCUCCAUCGUUCCUGCUACGCCGGUCUCCACCACCGCCUUCUCUAAGUUCACAUUUGGUUCCCGAUGUCGCCGUGUCUCUCCGUCAAGGGAGCUUCGUUGCUUCCCUCUCCAACAGGCCACCUUCCCGUCAUCUUAGAUCCCCAACCCCCUCCGCCAGCGUCAGAUCCGGCAAGCCGGCCGAAGAGCACCAGCAUCAUGCCCUCCCCACCAUGGUAGGCCGAGCUCCUCCUCACGCUGGCCUCCUCCAUCAAGGUCGUCGAGCUCCCUCUCCUCUGCAACGGCCUCGAGGUCGACACUACCACAGAAUUAUACCAUGGGGUGAGGAGCAUUGCUUUGACCAUUCUAGAAUACACCAAGGACACAAGGAGUAUGUGCUGGGCUGCUGGUGUUUGCUGGAGCUACACUUGCUUCAUUGCUCCACCCAAGAAGCAUGUGCACACUGCAUACCAGAGAAUGCAGAGUGGUCCAUAAUUUAUUUGCUUGUGUGAGACUCCCUUUGUAUGAAAUGUAAGACUUUUUUGAGUCUCAAUCUAAACCAAACUGAAUACCAGAGAAAUGCACAUUUUGAUAUUGAGUA